AUCAACAUCAUGAACAAUGAACUACACAUGUAACCAUAUAUGUAAAUAUACUCCACAACUGACUCAUUAUGCAUACGGUAUCAUCCAUGAACACUCAGGUUCAUCUCGCUCCUGAUCCCCACCAUAGGACCAAAGUACACCUAAUCUUUACAAUCACCAUAGGUAACAUUUCACCAGCCCCCACCUGGAACCGGCUACUCGCUCUUAAUCCUCAACAUAGGACCAGAGCAUACAAAAGUUGAUUACCAUUAACAUAGGUAACACUUGACUAAUUCUUC
rnacentral:lncRNA from 1 species